rnacentral:rRNA from 1 species
GAUAAACGCUGAAAGCAUCUAAGUGUGAAGCCCCCUCGAGAUGAGAUUUCCCAUUCCUAUAUGGAAGUAAGACCCCUGAGAGAUGAUCAGGUAGAUAGGCUGGAAGUGGAAGUGCAGCGAUGCAUGGAGCGGACCAGUACUAAUCGGUCGAGGACUUAACCAA